rnacentral:rRNA from 1 species
UACGUAGGGGGCAAGCGUUAUCCGGAAUUAUUGGGCGUAAAGAGUGCGUAGGUGGUUACUUAAGCGCGGGGUUUAAGGCAAUGGCUCAACCAUUGUUCGCCCUGCGAACUGGGUUACUUGAGUGCAGGAGAGGAAAGCGGAAUUCCUAGUGUAGCGGUGAAAUGCGUAGAUAUUAGGAAGAACACCAGUGGCGAAGGCGAUUCUCUGGACUGUAACUGACGCUGAGGCUCGAAAGCGUGGGGAGCAAACAGG